GUUAAUUGGCACACCUGUGGGAUUAUGGAUCAGGUGCACUAUGGCCACAGAGGAAAACUAAACGGCUCAAAGUAACUAUUCUGCCCGGCCUGAGAGGCUCACACGAUUUAACGGUGUUUGCUGACUGAAGCGGAAAUGGAUGUUAAAAUGGCAUCUAUAUGAUACGUGGCCUUAAUUUCAUCGGACCGGUGUAGUUACUGAGCUGUAGCUGUACCUGCGAUAGAUUCAGCCGACCUCCUCCAAGGCAGCCAGGACGUCAGCGCUCCCCCUCUCAAAUGCCACUGGGUUCCUCAGUGCUGCCAGGUAGGAAUCUCUGUAUCUACACUUCAAGUCUUGAUCAGUGAGCUCCUGCCUCAGCUUUCUCUGGCUGCACGGUGUACAAGGGUCGUCUCUGAACUGAAGGGUGCGUCCACAGGGAACAUUAUUCCCAAGUGGAACCGGUGGAGGCGGUCUGACAGGUUUGAACAAAACUGAAUUAGGUGGAUUUGGAUGGCUGUUCCUCUCUGUGCCCACA